AGGUCUCGCAGCUCUAAAUGGCUUUGGACCAGGCUUUGGAGGGGGCGUGAAACCCCAGAAGCCAGGUGAGCCUCCCCGUGCCUGUCUCUCUCCGCCUCCCCAAAACCCUGAGCUCCCCUCCCCCCAUUCACACCCCCACCUCGGUGUGUCCCCCCAGGUUUCGGGAAUGGCAAUGGGCUGGGAGCCCAGCCAGGCCCCCCAGCUCAGAAUGGCUACCCAGCAGGCCUCCCAGCUCAGAAUGGCUACGGAGCAGG